GAAAUGCGAUAAGUAGUGUGAAUUGCAGAAUUCAGUGAAUCAUCGAAUCUUUGAACGCACAUUGCGCCCUUUGGUAUUCCUUAGGGCAUGCCUGUUCGAGCGUCAUCUAAACCAUCAAGCCCUGCUUGGUGUUGGGUGCCUGUCCCGCCUCCGCGCGCGGACUCACCUCAAAUCCAUUGGCGGCCCCCGCGUCGGCCACGAGCGCAGCAGAAACGCGAACUCGUGAGCCCGUCCGGGCGGCUCCCAGAAGCUACACCCACCCAGUUUGACCUCGGAUCAGGUAGGGAUACCCGCUGAACUUAAGC
rnacentral:misc_RNA from 1 species